GAUCUCAAAUCAGGUAAGAAUACCCGCUGAACUUAAGCAUAUCAAUAAGCGGAGGAAAAGAAAAUAACAAUGAUUCCCUUAGUAACUGCGAGUGAAGAGGGACAAGCUCAAAUUUUAAAUCUGUUAGGUUCGCCUAACCGAAUUGUAAUUUGAAGAGGCGUUUUCUGCGUUUUUGAUCAGUCCAAGUCCUUUGGGAUAAGGCAUCAUGGAGGGUGAGAAUCCCGUUCGGGUUGAUCAAAUUUGCUUUAUGAUACGUCAUCUAAGAGUCAAGUUGUUUGGGAUUGCAGCUUAAAAUGGGGAGGUAAAUUUCUCCUAAGGCUAAAUAACGGCGAGAGACCGAUAGCGAACAAGUACCGUGAGGGAAAGAUGAAAAGAACUUUGAAAAGAGAGUCAAAUAGUACGUGAAAUUGUUGAAAGGGAAACGAUUGAAGUCAGUCGUACCGGCGGAUAAUCAGCCUUUCGAGUACGAUUCUGUGGAGUGUGAGGAGUUUAACCGCCUUCAUACCUGCAUAUUUGUGCGCUUUGGGUGUACUUGUCCGUAUGGUAGGUUAACAUCAAUUUUGGUCGUUAUAAAAUGGCUAGGGGAAUGUAGCUUUAAUCUCGUAUUGAAGUGUUAUAGCCUCUGGUAAAUGUAGUGACUAGGAUUGAGGAUUGCAACGGAUGCCUUUCGGGGCUACUCGUCUGAUCUCUGGAAGUUACUUUGGUGCUAAAAGCUUGCUUAUGGUUAUCGAAGUUGACGGUCAAUAGGUUAGAACGGGCUAAAUUCGUUAAGGAUGUUGACGUAAUGGCUUUAAACGACCCGUCUUGAAACACGGACCAAGGAGUCUAACAUAUAUGCGAGUGUUU
rnacentral:rRNA from 1 species